UCAGCUCGUGUCGUGAGAUGUUGGGUUAAGUCCCGCAACGAGCGCAACCCCUGUGAUUUGUUGCCACCCGGUUUACCGGAGCACUCGAAUCAGACUGCCUCGAUCAACGAGGAGGAAGGUGGGGAUGACGUCAAGUCCGUAUGGCCCUUACGACCAGGGCUGCACACGUACUACAAUGCCCAGCACAAUGAGAACCGAGA
rnacentral:rRNA from 1 species